AACCGGAUUAGAUACCCUGGUAGUCCACGCCCUAAACGAUGUCUACUAGUUGUCGGGUUUUAAUUAACUUGGUAACGCAGCUAACGCGUGAAGUAGACCGCCUGGGGAGUACGGUCGCAAGAUUAAAACUCAAAGGAAUUGACGGGGACCCGCACAAGCGGUGGAUGAUGUGGAUUAAUUCGAUGCAACGCGAAAAACCUUACCUACCCUUGACAUGUACGGAAGACCGAAGAGAUUUGGUUGUGCUCGAAAGAGAACCGUAACACAGGUGCUGCAUGGCUGUCGUCAGCUCGUGUCGUGAGAUGUUGGGUUAAGUCCCGCAACGAGCGCAACCCUUGUCAUUAGUUGCUACAUUCAGUUGAGCACUCUAAUGAGACUGCCGGUGACAAACCGGAGGAAGGUGGGGAUGACGUCAAGUCCUCAUGGCCCUUAUGGGUAGGGCUUCACACGUCAUACAAUGGUACAUACAGAGGGCCGCCAACCCGCGAGGGGGAGCUAAUCCCAGAAAGUGUAUCGUAGUCCGGAUCGCAGUCUGCAACUCGACUGCGUGAAGUUGGAAUCGCUAG
rnacentral:rRNA from 1 species